rnacentral:tRNA from 1 species
GCCCUUGUGGCUUAGUGGCUAGAGCGGCUGCCUCGUAAGCAGCAGGUCGUGGGUUCAACUCCCACCAAGGGCU